UACGUAGGGUGCGAGCGUUGUCCGGAAUUAUUGGGCGUAAAGGGCUCGUAGGCGGUUUGUCGCGUCGGGUGUGAAAACCCAGGGCUUAACUCUGGGCUUGCUUUCGAUACGGGCAGACUAGAGGUAUGCAGGGGAGAACGGAAUUCCUGGUGUAGCGGUGAAAUGCGCAGAUAUCAGGAGGAACACCGGUGGCGAAGGCGGUUCUCUGGGCAGUACCUGACGCUGAGGAGCGAAAGUGUGGGGAGCGAACAGG
rnacentral:rRNA from 1 species